CAUUUAUUUAAAAACGAAAACUAUCAAAAGCACAAAGCAAACAUGGACCAUAAACAUAGAAAAACAGAAAGGAAAAGCAAUCAGUGCACUCAAAAAGAGAAUGAAAGUACCAGAAUCAUGACGUCACAUACGAAAGGAAGAGACACACUCAAGCAUGGCCGUAACAAGGUGAAAUAUGCUCUAAUACCAGAUAGCCGCAGAGGCGCAUUACGCUCAGAGCUCUUCAACGGAGAGCAGGAAGACAUCUACUUCUUCUUCAGAGUCAGUAAGGAGAUGGUGGAAAACAAUUCUGAUGAAAUGGCACUCAGAGCUGACUUAUAUUGGCAGUCUGCUCGACCGUUUUGGUGGACUGAAAUGCCAUUUGUUCAUGAAUCUACACGAAUGUUAACAAAUCAGGCAAAUCAGAGUUUCCCCAAAGCGUGUUCACUCUCAACAGUAUUGAAAGGGAAUCCAGUUUGAAUGUCAGCAGCUCUGUUUUCUGUCAUAUUGGCUCAUAUUUGUGAUUAUUGUGUUUGUGGAGAUGUCCUGAAUGAAGUGACUCCAUCUCUCCUGCACUCAGGUGUUUUGUGAAGGCAGUGCCGUCUGUCUGUCAGUGUGAGGAUCCAGAAAACAGGAGAGUGAAUCAGACUGACAGAGAGAAAGAGCUGAAGGAUCCUGAAGGUCAUGAAGGUCAGAUCUCAUCAUCCUCAUUGAUUCCAGGAAUCUGAGCAGUUCAAGGCCUCAGAGUCCAGAGGAUGAUCAUUCAGUCGCUCGGUAUAGAGAGUUUUGCUUCAUUCUGGACAUUUAUUCUCAAUCCUCUCUUUUCAUGCAGUUACAUCUCAUAGACUUGAUCUUGAAUCUGUUGUGUUUCUGCUGAUCUCUGAUCAUCUGUUGCUCUAAUGCUUGGUUUUCAAGACGUGAAUAGCAGAAAUAUCCUCUUAAAACUAGUGCAGCCUGUGUAUUUGAAAUAGUUUUAGGUUUUUUAAUAAUUAUUCCACAGUUGGAAUAGUUCACUUUCAUAUUUGGGCUUUAAACAUCUUGAAAUCAGUGGUGCCAAUUGAGUGUGUGUGUGUGUGUGUGUGUGUGUGUGUGUGUGUGUG